rnacentral:rRNA from 1 species
CCUACGGGUGGCAGCAGUGGGGAAUAUUGCGCAAUGGGCGAAAGCCUGACGCAGCGACGCCGCGUGAGGGAUGAAGGUCUUCGGAUCGUAAACCUCUGUCAGCAGGGAAGAACGGUCACUGUGCUAAUCAGCCGUGAAUUGACGGUACCUGCAAAGGAAGCACCGGCUAACUCCGUGCCAGCAGCCGCGGUAAUACGGAGGGUGCGAGCGUUAAUCGGAAUUACUGGGCGUAAAGCGCUCGUAGGCGGUAUGUCAAGUCAAGGGUGAAAUCCCCGCGCUCAACGUGGGAACUGCCUUUGAAACUGGCAAGCUGGAGUGUGUGAGAGGAUGGUGGAAUUCCAGGUGUAGGAGUGAAAUCCGUAGAUAUCUGGAGGAACAUCAGUGGCGAAGGCGACCAUCUGGCACAUAACUGACGCUGAGGAGCGAAAGCGUGGGGAGCAAACAGGAUUAGAUACCCCUGUAGUC